rnacentral:rRNA from 1 species
GACGUAGGAUGCAAGCGUUGUCCGGAUUUAUUGGGCGUGAAGAGUUCGUAGGUGGUUUGUUAAGUCUGAUGUUAAAGACUGGGGCUCAACCUCGGAAAUGCAUUGGAUACUGACAGACUCGAGUGUGGUAGAGGCAAUCGGAAUUCCAGGUGUAGCGGUGAAAUGCGUAGAUAUCUGGAGGAACACCGGUGGCGAAGGCGGCAUCCUGGACCAACACUGACGCUGAGGAGCGAAAGCCAGGGGAGCAAACGGG